rnacentral:rRNA from 1 species
UGAAUACGAGACGCUAAGGCGUUGAAGUAGUGUAUGUCAUACUUCCAAGAAAAGCUUGCACUGUCAUAGAUAAAAAACGCCUGUACCAUAACCGACACAGGUGGGUAGGUAGAGUAUACUAAGGGGCGCGAGAUAACUCUCUCUAAGGAACUCGGCAAAAUAACUCCGUAACUUCGGGAGAAGGAGUGCCUUAUUUAUAAGGCUGCAAUAACAAGAUCCAAGCAACUGUUUAUCAAAAACGCAGGUCUCCGCUAAGUCGUAAGACGAUGUAUGGGGGCUGACGCCUGCCCAGUGCCAGAAGGUUAAAGAAGUUGGUUAGCAAUAGCGAAGCUGAUAACUGAAGCCCUGGUGAACGGCGGCCGUAACAAUAACGGUCCUAAGGUAGCGAAAUUCCUUGUCGGGUAAGUUCCACCCGCACGAAAGGCGUAAUGAUUUGGAUACUGUCUCGGAGAGGGGCUCGGUGAAAUAGACUUGUCUGUGAAGAUGCGGACUACCUGCGCCAGGACAGAAAGACCCUAUGAAGCUUUACUGUAACUUGAAAUUGAAAUUGGACUUUAUUCGCGCAGUAUAGGUGGGAGGCGUUGAUUGUAAUCUUGCGGGAUUAUUGGAGCCAUCAGUGAGAUACCACCCUUGUAAUGUUAGAUUUCUAACUUUGAAUCAUUAUCUGGUCAAAGAACAGUUUCAGGCGGGCAGUUUGACUGGGGCGGUCGCCUCCUAAACGGUAACGGAGGCGUACAAAGGUUUCCUCUGAACGGUUAGAAAUCGUAUCUAGAGUGUAAAGGCAUAAGGAAGCUUGACUGUGAGACCUACAAGUCGAGCAGGGACGAAAGUCGGUCUUAGUGAUCUGACGGUACUGAGUGGAAAGGCCGUCACUCAACGGAUAAAAGUUACUCUAAGGAUAACAGGCUGAUCUCCCCCAAGAGUUCACAUCGACGGGGAGGUUUGGCACCUCGAUGUCGGCUCAUCGCAUCCUGGGGCGGUAGUUCGUCCCAAGGGUUGGGCUGUUCGCCCAUGAAAGCGGUACGCGAGCUGGGUUCAGAACGUCGUGAGACAGUUCGGUCCAUAUCCGGUGUAGGCGUUAGAAUAUUGAGAGGAGCCUUCUUUAGUACGAGAGGACCGAGAAGGACAUACCUCUGGUGUACCAGUUAUCGUGCCAACGGUAAACGCUGGGUAGCUGUGUAUGGAGUGGAUAACCGCUGAAAGCAUCUAAGUGGGAAGCCCACCUCAAGAUAAGUAUUCUCACC